rnacentral:tRNA from 1 species
GGAUGUAGCUCAGUUGGUUAGAGUACCAGGUUGUGGCCCUGGGGGUCGUGGGUUCGAGUCCCACUAUC